rnacentral:RNase_P_RNA from 1 species
AAAACAGAUCAGAUGAUCGUUCCCCGCCAGCGGCGGGGGAAGGAAAGUCCGAGCUCUCAAAGGCAAAGUGCCUCGUAACUCGAGGGUCCCCUGCGGGGGAACGGAAAGUGUCACAGAAACAAUACCGCCCCGCCUGUGGCGGGGUAAGGGUGAAAUGGUGGUGUAAGAGACUACCGUCACGAUAGUGAUAUCGUGAGCAGGAUAAACCCCACUUGAGAGCAAGAUCAAGUAAGGAAGGAGAAGCCGCCUGCUUCGUUUUUUACUUCCGGGUAGAUCGCUUGAGUUCGGGAGUGAUCCCGUUCCCAGAUAGAUGAUCAUCAUAUCCUCCGGGAUAACAAAACUCGGCUUAUGAUCUGUUUUGGCC